GUGACGUGCCCACUGGCCUCUGCAGCCUGACUCUGGGCCUCUGGCACCACGGCAUGUCCGCUGGCCUUCUGGGCACCAACAACAAUAAAGCAGGCAAUGAUCUGAUGCUGCUGGAUGGCUCUGUGGCCCAGAGCCUGGAGGAGCUCAGCCUGGCCUGGCAGGUGGAUGGUGACAGUAGGGCCACCAAGAAGACUCAGUCGACCUGCCCAGGACAGAGCCCCACCUGCUGGGCCUUCUUCCAGGACCCCCGUUCCAGCUUGGGGAACUGCUUCCGGGUGGUGAGUGUGAGCCUGGCCCCUGGGGCACAGAAAGCCCUUUCCCCAGUCUCUGAGUCAGGGAGCCAGGUGAUCAGGCCCGGCUGGUCCCACCCCCACAAAAAAACAAACAAACAAAAAAAACAGCAAUUGGAAACACUCUGGGUUGAGAGUUUCACAGCAAGCACAGCUGAACCUGGGAUGGUCCAGCUCUGUGGGGGAGGGGUGUCCACCAUUACCGCUAUUACUGAGGCACUCCACCACUACAGAGGCAGCCUGCCAUUGCCGAGGCAACCCGUCAUUACAGAGAGAAUCCGUCAUUACAGAGGCAGGUUGCCAUUACUGAGGCAGUUCUAACUACACCCAUAUAAACAGGACUGCAGGGAAGUUCACAUGGCAGCCGGGCAGAGCCCACAGCAGCUGAGCGAAGCCUCUGCAGGCAGUGACUAGGCUGCCUCCUUGCUGGGCAGGGCAGCCCUGAAAAAAAAAGGCAGCAGCACAGUAGAAACUCACUCAUAAAUAAAGCCCUAACUAACUCCCUGGGACAGAACACCAGGGAAAAAAAAGAGGUUUAUGAGUUCUGCUGCAGCAGACUUAAACGUACCUGCCCAGCAGCUCCGAAUGAACAACAGAGCUCACAGCUCAGCACUUGAGCUCCUAUAAAGGACAGACUGUCUCCUCAAGCAGCUCCCUGACCCCC
rnacentral:lncRNA from 1 species